UAGGGAAUAUUGCACAAUGGGCGAAAGCCUGAUGCAGCAACGCCGCGUGUGCGAUGAAGGCCUUCGGGUCGUAAAGCACUUUUCUGGGAGAUGAGAAAGGACAGUAUCUCAGGAAUAAGUCUCGGCUAACUACGUGACAGCAGCCGCGGUAAAACGCAGGAGGCAAGCGUUAUCCGGAUUCACUGGGUGUAAAGCGCGUGCAGGCGGUUCGGUAAGCUGGGCGUGAAAUCUCCUGGCUCAACUAGGAGAGGUCGUUCAAUACUACCGGACUUGAGAGUGGUAGAGGAAGAUGGAAUUGCCGGUGUAGUGGUGAAAUGCGUAGAUAUCGGGAGGAAAACCAGUGGCGAAGGCGAUCUUCUGGUCCAUUUCUGACGCUCAGACGCGACAGCUAGGGUAGCAAACG
rnacentral:rRNA from 1 species